rnacentral:lncRNA from 1 species
ACCUCUCACCCAGUGAUAAAGACCAGACCUGCUCAUCACCUAAAAAGGUCAAGAGCUCAGCUCACUGGUUAAAAACAGAGCUCGCGGGUACGACUAGUCCAGCUCAGACAAAUUAGCUAAAUAAAAAGCUCAAAGACGCAAGCAGAUGGAAGCACGAUAAAGACCAGACCUGCUCAUCACCUAAGAAGGUCAAGAGCUCAG